rnacentral:misc_RNA from 1 species
GGAAUAUUGCACAAUGGGGGAAACCCUGAUGCAGCAACGCCGCGUGAAGGAAGACGGUUUUCGGAUUGUAAACUUCUGUUCUUAGUGAAGAAUAAUGACGGUAGCUAAGGAGCAAGCCACGGCUAACUACGUGCCAGCAGCCGCGGUAAUACGUAGGUGGCAAGCGUUGUCCGGAAUUACUGGGUGUAAAGGGAGCGUAGGCGGGAAGCCAAGUCAGCUGUGAAAACUACGGGCUUAACUUGUAGACUGCAGUUGAAACUGGUUUUCUUGAGUGAAGUAGAGGUUGGCGGAAUUCCGAGUGUAGCGGUGAAAUGCGUAGAUAUUCGGAGGAACACCGGUGGCGAAGGCGGCCAACUGGGCUUUAACUGACGCUGAGGCUCGAAAGUGUGGGGAGCAAACAGGA